rnacentral:rRNA from 1 species
GUAGUCAUAUGCUUGUCUCAAAGAUUAAGCCAUGCAUGUCUAAGUAUAAGCAAUUAUACAGCGAAACUGCGAAUGGCUCAUUAUAUAAGUUAUCGUUUAUUUGAUAGUACCUUACUACUUGGAUAACCGUGGUAAUUCUAGAGCUAAUACAUGCUAAAAAUCCCGACUUCGGAAGGGAUGUAUUUAUUAGAUUAAAAACCAAUGCCCUCUGGGCUCCUUGGUGAUUCAUAAUAACUUUUCGAAUCGCACGGCCUUGCGCCGGCGAUGGUUCAUUCAAAUUUCUUCCCUAUCAACUUUCGAUGUUUGGGUCUUGGCCAAACAUGGUCGCAACGGGUAACGGAGGGUUAGGGCUCGACCCCGGAGAAGGAGCCUGAGAAACGGCUACUACAUCCAAGGAAGGCAGCAGGCGCGCAAAUUACCCAAUCCCGAUUCGGGGAGGUAGUGACAAUAAAUACUGAUACAGGGCUCUUUUGGGUCUUGUAAUUGGAAUGAGUACAAUUUAAAUCUCUUAACGAGGAACAAUUGGAGGGCAAGUCUGGUGCCAGCAGCCGCGGUAAUUCCAGCUCCAAUAGCGUAUAUUAAAGUUGUUGUGGUUAAAAAGCUCGUAGUUGAACCUUGGGCCUGGCUGGCCGGUCCGCCUCACCGCGUGCACUGGUCCGGCCGGGCCUUUCCCUCUGUGGAACCCCAUGCUCUUCACUGAGUGUGGCGGUGAAACAGGACUUUUACUUUGAAAAAAUUAGAGUGCUCCAGGCAGGCCUAUGCUCGAAUACAUUAGCAUGGAAUAAUAAAAUAGGACGCGUGGUUCUAUUUUGUUGGUUUCUAGGACCGCCGUAAUGAUUAAUAGGGACAGUCGGGGGCAUCAGUAUUCAAUUGUCAGAGGUGAAAUUCUUGGAUUUAUUGAAGACUAACUACUGCGAAAGCAUUUGCCAAGGAUGUUUUCAUUAAUCAGAACGAAAGUUAGGGAUCGAAGACGAUCAGAUACCGUCGUAGUCUUAACCAUUAACUAUGCCGACUAGGGAUCGGACGAUGUUAUUUUUUUGACGCGUUCGGCACUUACGAGAAUCAAGUGCUUGGCUCCAAGGGGGAGUAUGGUCGCAAGGCUGAAACUUAAAGAAAUUGACGGAAGGGCACCACCAGGGGUAAACCGCUUCGCGCAGCCGCAGUAGCUCUGCCCCAGAAAGCAGCCCGAAAGGGUCAGUGGUGUUCCUGCCAGCGCUCCGGCGCGGCGAACUAAUUGCUAGUCUCCUCUGGAGGCGACACCCUCAAAUUGCGGGAAAAUCCUAAAGCCAGUGUCACCAAGCCGGCGCCGAAAGGGCGUCGGUGGCCGGGGUAGCGACCUAGGGUACGGUAAAAGCACACUGGAUAAUGCAAUGGACGAUCCGCAGCCAAGCCUCGUCGCCGCAGGGCACGGGGAAGGUUCAGAGACUACAUGGGGGUGGGUAGUGCACUGUCUGGGGGCUCCGGCCCCCGAGCGCCCGCUCACAACACUGCUUAAGAUAUAGUCCGGCCGUGCUGGAAACAGCACGGGCUGGCAAACCCAGAAACGGGAGCCUGCGGCUUAAUUUGACUCAACACGGGGAAACUCACCAGGUCCAGACACAAUGAGGAUUGACAGAUUGAGAGCUCUUUCUUGAUUUUGUGGGUGGUGGUGCAUGGCCGUUCUUAGUUGGUGGAGUGAUUUGUCUGCUUAAUUGCGAUAACGAACGAGACCUUAACCUGCUAAAUAGCCUGUAUUGCUUUGGCAGUACGCUGGCUUCUUAGAGGGACUAUCGGCUCAAGCCGAUGGAAGUUUGAGGCAAUAACAGGUCUGUGAUGCCCUUAGAUGUUCUGGGCCGCACGCGCGCUACACUGACGGAGCCAGCGAGUACUUCCUUGGUCGAAAGGCUCGGGUAAUCUUGUUAAACUCCGUCGUGCUGGGGAUAGAGCAUUGCAAUUAUUGCUCUUCAACGAGGAAUCCCUAGUAAGCGCAAGUCAUCAGCUUGCGUUGAUUACGUCCCUGCCCUUUGUACACACCGCCCGUCGCUACUACCGAUCGAAUGGCUCAGUGAGGCGUCCGGACUGGCCCAGGGAGGUGGGCAACUACCCCCCCGGGCCGGGAAGCUCUCCAAACUCGGUCAUUUAGAGGAAGUAAAAGUCGUAACAAGGUCUCCGUAGGUGAACCUGCGGAGGGAUCAUUAACGAGUUUUCCAACUCCCAACCCUUUGUGAACAUACCUAUCGUUGCUUCGGCGGACUCGCCCAGCGCCUGGACGCGGGCCUGGGCGGCGGCCGUCGGGGGCCCCAAACACUGUAUCUACCAGUUUUUCUGAAUCCGCCGCAAGGCAAAACAAAUGAAUCAAAACUUUCAACAACGGAUCUCUUGGCUCUGGCAUCGAUGAAGAACGCAGCGAAAUGCGAUAAGUAAUGUGAAUUGCAGAAUUCAGUGAAUCAUCGAAUCUUUGAACGCACAUUGCGCCCGCCAGCAUUCUGGCGGGCAUGCCUGUUCGAGCGUCAUUUCAACCCUCGACGUCCCCUGGGGGAUGUCGGCGUUGGGGACCGGCAGCACACCGCCGCCCCCGAAAUGAAGUGGCGGCCCGUCCGCGGCGACCUCUGCGUAGUACUCCAACUCGCACCGGGAACCCGACGUGGCCACGCCGUAAAACGCCCAACUCUGAACGUUGACCUCGGAUCAGGUAGGAAUACCCGCUGAACUUAAGCAUAUCAAUAAGCGGAGGAAAAGAAACCAACAGGGAUUGCCCUAGUAACGGCGAGUGAAGCGGCAACAGCUCAAAUUUGAAAUCUGGCCCCCGGGUCCGAGUUGUAAUUUGUAGAGGAUGCUUUUGGCGAGGUGCCUUCCGAGUUCCCUGGAACGGGACGCCAUAGAGGGUGAGAGCCCCGUCUGGUCGGACACCGAGCCUCUGUAAAGCUCCUUCGACGAGUCGAGUAGUUUGGGAAUGCUGCUCAAAAUGGGAGGUAUAUGUCUUCUAAAGCUAAAUAUUGGCCAGAGACCGAUAGCGCACAAGUAGAGUGAUCGAAAGAUGAAAAGCACUUUGAAAAGAGGGUUAAAAAGUACGUGAAAUUGUUGAAAGGGAAGCGCCUAUGACCAGACUUGGGCCCGGUGAAUCACCCAGCGUUCUCGCUGGUGCACUUCGCCGGGCACAGGCCAGCAUCAGUUUGGCGCGGGGGAGAAAGGCUUCGGGAAUGUGGCUCCCCUGGGAGUGUUAUAGCCCGUUGCGCAAUACCCUGCGCUGGACUGAGGUACGCGCAUUCGCAAGGAUGCUGGCGUAAUGGUCAUCAGCGACCCGUCUUGAAACACGGACCAAGGAGUCGUCUUCGUAUGCGAGUGUUCGGGUGUCAAACCCCUACGCGUAAUGAAAGUGAACGCAGGUGAGAGCUUCGGCGCAUCAUCGACCGAUCCUGAUGUUCUCGGAUGGAUUUGAGUAAGAGCAUACGGGGCCGGACCCGAAAGAAGGUGAACUAUGCCUGUAUAGGGUGAAGCCAGAGGAAACUCUGGUGGAGGCCCGCAGCGGUUCUGACGUGCGAAUCGAUCGUCAAAUAUGGGCAUGGGGGCGAAAGACUAAUCGAACCUUCUAGUAGCUGGUUUCCGCCGAAGUUUCCCUCAGGAUAGCAGUGUUGAACUCAGUUUUAUGAGGUAAAGCGAAUGAUUAGGGACUCGGGGGCGCUAUAUUGCCUUCAUCCAUUCUCAAACUUUAAAUAUGUAAGAAGCCCUUGUUACUUGAUUGAACGUGGGCAUUCGAAUGUAUCAACACUAGUGGGCCAUUUUUGGUAAGCAGAACUGGCGAUGCGGGAUGAACCGAACGCGAGGUUAAGGUGCCGGAGUGGACGCUCAUCAGACACCACAAAAGGUGUUAGUACAUCUUGACAGCAGGACGGUGGCCAUGGAAGUCGGAAUCCGCUAAGGACUGUGUAACAACUCACCUGCCGAAUGUACUAGCCCUGAAAAUGGAUGGCGCUCAAGCGUCCCACCCAUACCUCGCCCUCAGGGUAGAAACGAAGCCCUGAGGAGUAGGCGGACGUGGAGGUCAGUGACGAAGCCUAGGGCGCGAGCCCGGGUCGAACGGCCUCUAGUGCAGAUCUUGGUGGUAGUAGCAAAUACUUCAAUGAGAACUUGAAGGACCGAAGUGGAGAAAGGUUCCAUGUGAACAGCAGUUGGACAUGGGUUAGUCGAUCCUAAGUCAUAGGGAAGUUCCGUUUCAAAGGCGCACUCUGCGCCGUGUGGCGAAAGGGAAGCCGGUUAACAUUCCGGCACCUGAAUGUGGGUUUUGCGCGGCAACGCAACUGAACGCGGAGACGACGGCGGGAGCCCCGAGCAGAGUUCUCUUUUCUUCUUAACGGUUUAUCACCCUGAAAUCGGUUUAUCCGGAGCUAGGGUUUAAUGGCCGGAAGAGCCCAGCACCUCUGCUGGGUUCGGUGCGCUCUCGACGUCCCUUGAAAAUCCGCGGGAAGGAAUAAUUCUCACGUCAGGUCGUACUCAUAACCGCAGCAGGUCUCCAAGGU